CCGGCGAUGUCCGAAUGGGGAAACCCAGUGCAAUUCGUUGCACUAUCGUUAACUGAAUACAUAGGUUAACGAGGCGAACCGGGGGAACUGAAACAUCUAAGUACCCCGAGGAAAAGAAAUCAACCGAGAUUCCCCCAGUAGCGGCGAGCGAACGGGGAGCAGCCCAGAGUCUGAAUCAGCUUGUGUGUUAGUGGAACGGUCUGGAAAGUCCGACGGUACAGGGUGAUAGUCCCGUACACCAAAAUGCACAGGUUGUGAACUCGAAGAGUAGGGCGGGACACGUGGUAUCCUGUCUGAAUAUGGGGGGACCAUCCUCCAAGGCUAAAUACUCCUGACUGACCGAUAGUGAACCAGUACCGUGAGGGAAAGGCGAAAAGAACCCCGGCGAGGGGAGUGAAAAAGAACCUGAAACCGUGUACGUACAAGCAGUGGGAGCACCUUCGGGUGUGACUGCGUACCUUUUGUAUAAUGGGUCAGCGACUUAUAUUCUGUAGCAAGGUUAACCGUAUAGGGGAGCCGCAGGGAAACCGAGUCUUAACUGGGCGUUAAGUUGCAGGGUAUAGACCCGAAACCCGGUGAUCUAGCCAUGGGCAGGUUGAAGGUUGGGUAACACUAACUGGAGGACCGAACCGACUAAUGUUGAAAAAUUAGCGGAUGACUUGUGGCUGGGGGUGAAAGGCCAAUCAAACCGGGAGAUAGCUGGUUCUCCCCGAAAGCUAUUUAGGUAGCGCCUCGUGAACUCAUCUUCGGGGGUAGAGCACUGUUUCGGCUAGGGGGUCAUCCCGACUUACCAACCCGAUGCAAACUACGAAUACCGAAGAAUGUUAUCACGGGAGACACACGGCGGGUGCUAACGUCCGUCGUGAAGAGGGAAACAACCCAGACCGCCAGCUAAGGUCCCAAAGUCAUGGUUAAGUGGGAAACGAUGUGGGAAGGCACAGACAGCCAGGAUGUUGGCUUAGAAGCAGCCAUCAUUUAAAGAAAGCGUAAUAGCUCACUGGUCGAGUCGGCCUGCGCGGAAGAUGUAACGGGGCUAAACCAUGCACCGAAGCUGCGGCAGCGACGCUCAGGCGUUGUUGGGUAGGGGAGCGUUCUGUAAGCCUGCGAAGGUGGCCUGUGAGGGUUGCUGGAGGUAUCAGAAGUGCGAAUGCUGACAUAAGUAACGAUAAAGCGGGUGAAAAGCCCGCUCGCCGGAAGACCAAGGGUUCCUGUCCAACGUUAAUCGGGGCAGGGUGAGUCGACCCCUAAGGCGAGGCCGAAAGGCGUAGUCGAUGGGAAACAGGUUAAUAUUCCUGUACUUGGUGUUACUGCGAAGGGGGGACGGAGAAGGCUAUGUUAGCCGGGCGACGGUUGUCCCGGUUUAAGCAUGUAGGCUGAUUAUCCAGGCAAAUCCGGAUAAUCAAGGCUGAGGUGUGAUGACGAGGCACUACGGUGCUGAAGUAACAAAUGCCCUGCUUCCAGGAAAAGCCUCUAAGCAUCAGGUAACAUCAAAUCGUACCCCAAACCGACACAGGUGGUCAGGUAGAGAAUACCAAGGCGCUUGAGAGAACUCGGGUGAAGGAACUAGGCAAAAUGGUGCCGUAACUUCGGGAGAAGGCACGCUGGUGUGUAGGUGAAGUCCCUGCGGAUGGAGCUGAGACCAGUCGAAGAUACCAGCUGGCUGCAACUGUUUAUUAAAAACACAGCACUGUGCAAACACGAAAGUGGACGUAUACGGUGUGACGCCUGCCCGGUGCCGGAAGGUUAAUUGAUGGGGUUAUCCGUAAGGAGAAGCUCUUGAUCGAAGCCCCGGUAAACGGCGGCCGUAACUAUAACGGUCCUAAGGUAGCGAAAUUCCUUGUCGGGUAAGUUCCGACCUGCACGAAUGGCGUAAUGAUGGCCAGGCUGUCUCCACCCGAGACUCAGUGAAAUUGAACUCGCUGUGAAGAUGCAGUGUACCCGCGGCAAGACGGAAAGACCCCGUGAACCUUUACUAUAGCUUGACACUGAACAUUGAGCCUUGAUGUGUAGGAUAGGUGGGAGGCUUUGAAGCGUGGACGCCAGUCUGCGUGGAGCCAACCUUGAAAUACCACCCUUUAAUGUUUGAUGUUCUAACGU
rnacentral:rRNA from 1 species